UACGUAGGGCGCAAGCGUUAAUCGGAAUUACUGGGCGUAAAGCGUGCGCAGGCGGUGAUGUAAGACAGUUGUGAAAUCCCCGGGCUCAACCUGGGAACUGCAUCUGUGACUGCAUCGCUGGAGUGCGGCAGAGGGGGAUGGAAUUCCGCGUGUAGCAGUGAAAUGCGUAGAUAUGCGGAGGAACACCGAUGGCGAAGGCAAUCCCCUGGGCCUGCACUGACGCUCAUGCACGAAAGCGUGGGGAGCAAACAGG
rnacentral:rRNA from 1 species